UACGGAGGGUGCAAGCGUUAUCCGGAUUCACUGGGUUUAAAGGGUGCGUAGGUGGGUUGGUAAGUCAGUGGUGAAAUCUCCGGGCUUAACUCGGAAACUGCCGUUGAUACUAUCAAUCUUGAAUAUUGUGGAGGUAAGCGGAAUAUGUCAUGUAGCGGUGAAAUGCGUAGAUAUGACAUAGAACACCGAUAGCGAAGGCAGCUUGCUACACAAUUAUUGACACUGAGGCACGAAAGCGUGGGGAUCAAACAGG
rnacentral:rRNA from 1 species